rnacentral:tRNA from 1 species
GGGCGAUUGGCUCAGCGGGAGAGCACCUGCCUUACAAGCAGGGGGUCGCAGGUUCAAAUCCUGCAUCGCCCACCA